UGCAGUCGAACGCUUCUUUUUCCACCGGAGCUUGCUCCACCGGAAAAAGAGGAGUGGCGAACGGGUGAGUAACACGUGGGUAACCUGCCCAUCAGAAGGGGAUAACACUUGGAAACAGGUGCUAAUACCGUAUAACAAUCGAAACCGCAUGGUUUUGAUUUGAAAGGCGCUUUCGGGUGUCGCUGAUGGAUGGACCCGCGGUGCAUUAGCUAGUUGGUGAGGUAACGGCUCACCAAGGCGACGAUGCAUAGCCGACCUGAGAGGGUGAUCGGCCACAUUGGGACUGAGACACGGCCCAAACUCCUACGGGAGGCAGCAGUAGGGAAUCUUCGGCAAUGGACGAAAGUCUGACCGAGCAACGCCGCGUGAGUGAAGAAGGUUUUCGGAUCGUAAAACUCUGUUGUUAGAGAAGAACAAGGAUGAGAGUAACUGUUCAUCCCUUGACGGUAUCUAACCAGAAAGCCACGGCUAACUACGUGCCAGCAGCCGCGGUAAUACGUAGGUGGCAAGCGUUGUCCGGAUUUAUUGGGCGUAAAGCGAGCGCAGGCGGUUUCUUAAGUCUGAUGUGAAAGCCCCCGGCUCAACCGGGGAGGGUCAUUGGAAACUGGGAGACUUGAGUGCAGAAGAGGAGAGUGGAAUUCCAUGUGUAGCGGUGAAAUGCGUAGAUAUAUGGAGGAACACCAGUGGCGAAGGCGGCUCUCUGGUCUGUAACUGACGCUGAGGCUCGAAAGCGUGGGG
rnacentral:rRNA from 1 species